rnacentral:rRNA from 1 species
CAGCCGCCGCGGUAAUACCGGCGGCCCGAGUGGCGGUCACUAUUAUUGGGCUUAAAGCGUCCGUAGCCGGGUUGGGAAGUCCUCCGGGAAAUCUGGCCGCUUAACGGUCAGAAUGCCGGAGGAUACUCCCAGCCUAGGGAGUGGGAGAGGCCGAGGGGAUUCCCGGGGUAGGGGUGAAAUCCUAUAAUCCCGGGAGGACCACCUGUGGCGAAGGCGCUCGGCUGGAACGCGUCCGACGGUGAGGGACGAAGGCCAGGGGAGCAAACCGGAUUAGAUACCCGGGUAGUCCCGGCGGUAAACGAUGCGGGCUAGGUGUUGGGUGGGCUUAGAGCCCACCCAGUGCCGCAGGGAAGCCGUUAAGCCCGCCGCCUGGGGAGUACGGCCGCAAGGCUGAAACUUAAAGGAAUUGGCGGG